rnacentral:rRNA from 1 species
ACUCCUACGGGAGGCAGCAGUGGGGAAUAUUGGACAAUGGGCGAAAGCCUGAUCCAGCCAUGCCGCGUGUGUGAAGAAGGUCUUCGGAUUGUAAAGCACUUUAAGUUGGGAGGAAGGGCAGUUACCUAAUACGUGAUUGUUUUGACGUUACCGACAGAAUAAGCACCGGCUAACUCUGUGCCAGCAGCCGCGGUAAUACAGAGGGUGCAAGCGUUAAUCGGAAUUACUGGGGCGUAAAGCGCGCGUAGGUGGUUAGUUAAGUUGGAUGUGAAAUCCCCGGGGCUCAACCUGGGAACUGCAUUCAAAACUGACUGACUAGAGUAUGGUAGAGGGUGGUGGAAUUUCCUGUGUAGCGGUGAAAUGCGUAGAUAUAGGAAGGAACACCAGUGGCGAAGGCGACCACCUGGACUGAUACUGACACUGAGGUGCGAAAGCGUGGGGAGCAAACAGGAUUAGAUA